AACCUGGUUGAUCCUGCCAGUAGUCAUAUGCUUGUCUCAAAGAUUAAGCCAUGCAUGUGUAAGCGCACACUGUUUUAAAAGUGAAGCCGCGAAUGGCUCAUUACAACAGCCACAGUUUAUUAGAACUUACAAUCAUGGAUAACUGUGGUAAUUCUAGAGCUAAUACACGCACAAAAACUUCAACUGAAUUGGUUGAAGUGCUUUUAUUAGAACAAAAACCGAACGGCGUUUGACGAAUGUUGAACGUCGAAACUGUUUGGUGAAUCUGAAUAACUAUUUCUGAUCGCAUGGUCUAGCACCGGCGACAUCACUUUCAAGUGUCUGCCUUAUCAACCUUCGAUGGUAGUCUAUGCGACUACCAUGGUGAUAACGGGUAACGGAGAAUCAGGGUUCGACUCCGGAGAGGGAGCCUGAGAAACGGCUACCACAUCCAAGGAAGGCAGCAGGCGCGCAAAUUACCCACUCCCAGCUUGGGGAGGUAGUGACGAAAAAUAACGAGACGAUUCUCGUUUGAGAAACGUUAUCGAAAUGAGUACGCUUUACACACGCUAACGAGUAGCAAUUGGAGGGCAAGUCUGGUGCCAGCAGCCGCGGUAAUUCCAGCUCCAAUAGCGUAUAUUAAAGUUGCUGCGGUUAAAACGCUCGUAGUUGAAUUGUGGUCUUAGACAACAGUCCCCCUACAAAGGUGUGGCACGGUUGCUCGAGAUCUUCAUUCGUGGUUGCUGUUGUUGCUCUUCAUUGAGUGUCAAUGGUGCCUCGAGAUUUUACUUUGAAAAAAUUAGAGUGCUCAAAGCAGGUUGUGAUGCCUGAAUAAUGGUGCAUGGAAUAAUAGAAUACGAUCUCGGUUCUAUUUUGUUGGUUUUCGAACCGGAGAUAAUGAUUGAAAGGAACAGACGGGGGCAUUCGUAUUGCUGCGUUAGAGGUGAAAUUCUUGGAUCGCAGCAAGAUGAACAAUUGCGAAAGCAUUUGCCAAGAAUGUUUUCAUUAAUCAAGAACGAAAGUUAGAGGUUCGAAGGCGAUCAGAUACCGCCCUAGUUCUAACGGUAAACUAUGCCAACCAGCGAUUCGCCGAAGUUCAUUUAAGACUCGGCGAGCAGCUUCCGGGAAACCAAAGUGUUUCGGUUCCGGGGGAAGUAUGGUUGCAAAGCUGAAACUUAAAGGAAUUGACGGAAGGGCACCACCAGGAGUGGAGCCUGCGGCUUAAUUUGACUCAACACGGGAAAACUCACCCGGCCCGGACACUGGAAGGAUUGACAGAUUGACAGCUCUUUCUUGAUUCAGUGGGUAGUGGUGCAUGGCCGUUCUUAGUUGGCGGAGCGAUUUGUCUGGUUAAUUCCGAUAACGAACGAGACUCUACCCUAUUAAAUAGUGACAGUAUUGUAUUUUUUGUGCUGAUCACUUCUUAGAGGGACUGGCAAAUUGAAAGCUGCACGAAAAAGAGCAAUAACAGGUCUGUGAUGCCCUUCGAUGUCCGGGGCUGCACGCGCGCUACAAUGAAAGCGUCAACGUGAGUUACGUCCUUACCUGAAAAGGUUUGGCAAUCGAAUGAAACGUUUUCUUGAAUGGAAUAGGGAAUUGCAAUUGUUUCCCUUGAACGAGGAAUUCCCAGUAAGCGUGAGUCAUUAGCUCGCGUUGAUUACGUCCCUGCCCUUUGUACACACCGCCCGUCGCUACUACCGAUUGGAUGAUUUAGUGAGGUGUUUUGACUGGCGCCAGUAGUCGGAUAUGUAUUCGGCUUCGCGCCGGGAAAUUUCCCAAACCAAAUCAUCUAGAGGAAGUAAAAGUCGUAACAAGGUUUCCGUAGGUGAACCUGCGGAAGGAUCAUUA
rnacentral:rRNA from 1 species